rnacentral:rRNA from 1 species
AGAGAGCUCGUAGGCGGUUUGUCGCGUCGUCUGUGAAAUUCUGCAACUCAAUUGCAGGCGUGCAGGCGAUACGGGCAGACUUGAGUACUACAGGGGAGACUGGAAUUCCUGGUGUAGCGGUGAAAUGCGCAGAUAUCAGGAGGAACACCGGUGGCGAAGGCGGGUCUCUGGGUAGUAACUGACGCUGAGGAGCGAAAGCGUGGGUAGCGAACAGGAUUAGAUACCCUGGUAGUCCACGCCGUAAACGGUGGGUACUAGGUGUGGGUUCCUUUUCACGGGAUCCGUGCCGUAGCUAACGCAUUAAGUACCCCGCCUGGGGAGUACGGCCGCAAGGCUAAAACUCAAAGGAAUUGACGGGGCCCGCACAAGCGGCGGAGCAUGUGGAUUAAUUCGAUGCAACGCGAAGAACCUUACCUGGGUUUGACAUACACCAGACGCGGCUAGAGAUAGUCGUUCUCUUGUGGUUGGUGUACAGGUGGUGCAUGGCUGUCGUCAGCUCGUGUCGUGAGAUGUUGGGUUAAGUCCCGCAACGAGCGCAACCCUUGUCCUGUAUUGCCAGCGGGUUAUGCCGGGGACUUGCAGGAGACUGCCGGGGUCAACUCGGAGGAAGGUGGGGAUGACGUCAAGUCAUCAUGCCCCUUAUGUCCAGGGCUUCACACAUGCUACAAUGGCUGGUACAGAGGGCUGCGAUACCGUGAGGUGGAGCGAAUCCCUUAAAGCCAGUCUCAGUUCGGAUUGGGGUCUGCAACUCGACCCCGUGAAGUCGGAGUCGCUAGUAAUCGCAGAUCAGCAA